CCUACGGGUGGCUGCAGUGAGGAAUAUUGCUCAAUGGAGGAAACCCUGAUGCAGCAAUGCCGCGUGAGUGAAGACGGAUUUCUAUGUGUAAAGCUCUAUCUGCAGGGAAGAAAAUGACGAUACCUGUUUCUGUAGCCCCGUCUCACUCCGUGCCAGCAGCCGCGGUAAUACGCAGGGGGCAAGCGUUAUCCGGAUUUACUGGGUGUAAAGGGGGCGUAGUCGGCAUAUCAAGUCUGAAGUGAAACCCCGAGGCUCAACCAUGGGACUGCUUUGGAAACUGUUCAGCUAGAGUGCUGGAGAGGUAGGCGGAAUGCAUGGUGUAGCGGUGAAAUGCGUAGAGAUUAGGCAGAACACCGGUGGCGAAGGCAGCUUACCGGAC
rnacentral:rRNA from 1 species